AGCCUCUUGGUUUAUAAAAAGAGGUGAAUUCUGCCCGGUGAAUUUUUAACGGCCGCGGUAUUUUGACCGUGCUAAGGUAGCGUGAUAAUUUGCCUUUUAAUUGGAGGCUGGAAUGAAUGGAACUACGUGGGAUUAAUUUUUCUAAGAAAAAUUUUUGAAGUUGCAGUUAAAUUGAAAAUGAUUUUAUUUUUUUAUUAGACGAGAAGACCCUGUCGAUCUUUAUCUUUAUUUAAGCACAUUUUUUUGGUUAAGUGAAUUUUUUUAAAUAAAGAGUUGAUUGGGGCGAUUGAGGAAUGAUAAAUCUUCCUUUAAGUUUAUGAGUUACGAUUCUUUUUAAUGAGCCGGCCUCAUGGUCGAUUAAUGGAUUAAGUUACCGCAGGGAUAACAGAGUUAUAUUUUUGGAGAGUUCUAAUCGAUAAAAAUGUUUGCUACCUCGAUGUUGGAUUAAGGAAACAGUAAGGUGUAGGCGCUUUAUUAGUGAGACUGUUCGUCUUUUUAUUCCUU
rnacentral:rRNA from 1 species